UUUUUGAGGACUGACGGCACAUAAAAGGGAGCUAUUAAGGAGAACCAUGGGGUGUCUGUGAUGGGAAGGACUGAUUAUCCCUGACAGCCUCCAACUUUGAAUUCCUGGAAAGGCAAACCACGAAUAUUUCAGUGAGCCAAGCAUGCAGAUACAUUUAAUGCCACAUUGCCCUUCUACCCUUUUCCUCCUCUUUUCCUCUCCCUGGUUUCCCAGCCUCUUCUAAAAUGGUGUGUUUAUUAUGAAGUGUUCUUGGAAGCUUUCUUCUGUCAUCUGAAUCAACAUAAUAUCAGACCUAUCAAGAUCUAUUUUUAAAGAGGAAAUUCUUUACGAUCUCUUUCUACAAGACUGGAGGAAACCAGGAUGUCAUUACCG
rnacentral:lncRNA from 1 species